ensembl:lncRNA
UUUUUUUUGGAACCAACUCAGGAUUAGCAAGAAUCAGGAACCUAACCAGAAAGUGACUGCACUACAAGACAUCAAGCCUGAACAGGGACUUGAGCCCUGGACUCUCAGAUUAAAAGUCUGAUGCUGUACCGACUGAGCUAUCCAGGCUUCAAAAGCUCUGUUGAUUAUUGCGAAUGUGACUCUGGCAGAGGAACAAUCUCAAUGUGUUCGUCCAAUUCCAAAAAGGCUCAGAGGAACAAGCAGAAAAGGUACAUCUUUUUUUGGAACCGGCUCAGGAUUAGCAAGAGUCAGGAAUCUCAACAGAAAGUCACUUCACUACAAGACAACAAGCCUAAACAGGGACUUGAACCCUGGACCAUUAGAUUAAAAGUCUGAGGCUCUACCAACUGAGGUUUGACCUUGAUUGAAAGGUAAUCUUGUAAAACAAUACUUGUUAAACGAAUAUAUAAGACGACUGAGGAGAAACCCAAUUCCAAAACGGCUCAGAGGAACAAGCAGAAAAGGUACAUCUUUUUUUGGAACCGGCUCAGGAUUAGCAAGAGUCAGGCAUCUCACCAGAAAGUCACUCCACUACAAAACUUCAAGCCUGAACAGGGACUUGAACCCUGGACCCUUAGAUUAAAAGUCUGAGGCUCUACCAACUGAGGUUUGACUUUGUAUGAAAGGUAAUCUUGUAAAACAAUACUUGUUAAAGGAAUAUAUAAGACGACUGAGGAGGAACCCAAUUCCAAAAAGGCUCAGAGGAACAAGCAGAAAAGGUACAUCUUUUUUUGGAACCGGCUCAGGAUUAGCAAGAGUCAGGAACCUAACCAGAAAGUGAUUGCACUACAAGACAUCAAGCCUGAACAGGGACUUGAACCCUGGACCCUCAGAUUAAAAGUCUGAUGCUCUACCGACUGAGCUAUCCAGGCUUCAAAAGCUCUUUUGAUUAUUGCAAAUGUGACUCUGGCAGAGGAACAAACUAAAUGUGUUCGUCCAAUUCCAAAAAGGCUCAGAGGAAUGAGCAGAAAAGGUACAGCUUUCUUUGGAACCGGCUCAGGAUUAGCAAGAGUCAGGAAUCACUGCACUACAAGACAUUAAGUCUGAACAGGGACUUGAACCCUGGACCCUUAGAUUAAAAGUCUGAUGCUCUACCAACUGAGGUUUGACCUUGAUUGAAAGGUAAUCUUGUAAAACAAUACUUGUUAAACGAAUAUAUAAGACGACUGAGGAGAAACCCAAUUCCAAAAAGGCUCAGAGGAACAAGCAGAAAAGGUACAUCUUUUUUUGGAACCGGCUCAGGAUUAGCAAGAGUCAGGGAUCUCACCAGAAAGUCACUCCACUACAAAACUUCAAGCCUGAACAGGGACUUGAACCCUGGACCCUUAGAUUAA